GACGAACGCUGGCGGCGUGCUUAACACAUGCAAGUCGAACGGAAAGGCCCUGCUUUUGUGCUGUGCCCGAGUGGCGAACGGGUGAGUAACACGUGAGUAACCUGCCCUUGACUUUGGGAUAACUUCAGGAAACUGGGGCUAAUACCGGAUAGGAGCUCCUGCUGCAUGGUGGGGGUUGGAAAGUUUCGGCGGUUGGGGAUGGAUUCGCGGCUUACCAGCUUGUUGGUGGGGUAGUGGCUUACCAAGGCUGUGACGGGUCGCCCGCCUGGGAGGGUGACCGGGGUCAUUGGGACUGAGAGACGGACCAGUGUCGAACGGGAGGCAGCAGGGGGGAAUAUGGUACAGCGGGCGGGAGCCGGAUGCGGCAGCGCUCGGUGCGGAAAGACGGCCUGCUGGUUGUGAACCGCAUUAGCCUGAGACGAAGCGUGGGUGACGGUAAUGGGUGAAGAAGCACCGGCUAACUACGUG
rnacentral:rRNA from 1 species